GAUGAACGCUGGCGGCGUGCCUAAUACAUGCAAGUCGAGCGAACAGACGAGGAGUUUGCUCCUCUGACGUUAGCGGCGGACGGGUGAGUAACACGUGGAUAACCUACCUAUAAGACUGGGAUCACUUCGGGAAACCGGAGCUAAUACCGGAUAAUAUAUUGAACCGCAUGGUUCAAUAGUGAAAGACGGUUUUGCUGUCACUUAUAGAUGGUUCCGCGCCGCAUUAGCUAGUUGGUAGGGUAACGGCUUACCAAGGCAACGAUGCGUAGCCGACCUGAGAGGGUGAUCGGCCACACUGGAACUGAGACACGGUCCAGACUCCUACGGGAGGCAGCAGUAGGGAAUCUUCCGCAAUGGGCGAAAGCUUGACGGAGCAACGCCGCGUGAGUGAUGAAGGUCUUCGGAUCGUAAAACUCUGUUAUUAGGGAAGAACAAAUGUGUAAGUAACUAUGCACGUCUUGACGGUACCUAAUCAGAAAGCCACGGCUAACUACGUG
rnacentral:rRNA from 1 species